rnacentral:rRNA from 1 species
GGCUUAACACAUGCAAGUCGAGCGCGUAGCAAUACGAGCGGCAGACGGGUGAGUAACGCGUGGGAAUCUACCCAUCUCUACGGAAUAACUCAGGGAAACUUGUGCUAAUACCGUAUACGCCCUUCGGGGGAAAGAUUUAUCGGAGAUGGAUGAGCCCGCGUUGGAUUAGCUAGUUGGUGGGUAAAGGCCUACCAAGGCGACGAUCCAUAGCUGGUCUGAGAGGAUGAUCAGCCACAUUGGGACUGAGACACGGCCCAAACUCCUACGGGAGGCAGCAGUGGGGAAUAUUGGACAAUGGGCGCAAGCCUGAUCCAGCCAUGCCGCGUGAGUGAUGAAGGCCUUAGGGUUGUAAAGCUC